GGAUCCAGACUUUGAUUCUGGCUCCGGAUGAACGCUAGCUACAGGCUUAACACAUGCAAGUCGAGGGGAAACGAUAUUGGAAGCUUGCUUCCGAUAGGCGUCGACCGGCGCACGGGUGAGUAACGCGUAUCCAACCUGCCCAUCACUUGGGAAUAACCUUGCGAAAGUAAGACUAAUACCCAAUGACAUUUAUAGAAGGCAUCUGAAAUGAAUUAAAGAUUUAUCGGUGAUGGAUGGGGAUGCGUCUGAUUAGCUUGUUGGCGGGGUAACGGCCCACCAAGGCGACGAUCAGUAGGGGUUCUGAGAGGAAGGUCCCCCACAUUGGAACUGAGACACGGUCCAAACUCCUACGGGAGGCAGCAGUGAGGAAUAUUGGUCAAUGGGCGAGAGCCUGAACCAGCCAAGUAGCGUGCAGGAUGACGGCCCUAUGGGUUGCAAACUGCUUUUAUAGGGGAAUAAAGUGAGCCACGUGUGGUUUUUUGCAUGUACCCUAUGAAUAAGGACCGGCUAAUUCCGUGCCAGCAGCCGCGGUAAUACGGAAGGUCCGGGCGUUAUCCGGAUUUAUUGGGUUUAAAGGGAGCGUAGGCCGGAGAUUAGCGUGUUGUGAAAUGUAGAUGCUCAACAUCUGAACUGCAGCGCGAACUGGUUUCCUUGAGUACGCAUAAAGUGGGCGGAAUUCGUGGUGUAGCGGUGAAAUGCUUAGAUAUCACGAAGAACUCCGAUUGCGAAGGCAGCUCACUGGGGCGCAACUGACGCUGAAGCUCGAAAGCGCGGGUAUCGAACAG
rnacentral:rRNA from 1 species